GAUGGGGCACAAGGGCAGGAGAGGAGGGCCAGAGUGUGUGGACCAGAUGCCCUGGGGCAGAUGAGUCUUGUGGUCUGUGUAGGCAUUCAUGGAUCAGGUCCAGUUUAUAACAGCUGGAAUAUUUCUUUCACUUGGUGUGGUCAAUUCCCCCCUGUAGCAUGAAGAACACUGGGCCAGGUGGGCUUAAAGGCUGAUCAAAGCUUCCAAAUUCCAUGAUUUGGUUAAAGACAUCUAUUUAAGUGACAGCAGGCCUACAGUUGUCACAAUCUGAGUUUGGGUCUUAUGUCAAAAAAAACUAUCUGCCGUUACCAGUUAGGGUUCCUAUCUUGUAAACAAAACCAGCAGUGCUGACGUGAAAGCACAGAAUGGACAGGAGGUGGGUUCAGGGCAGCACGUAGGCCAUAGGCAGGAGCAGAGGAAAGGGAAGGCUCCCUGGGGAGAGGCCACUGCCACCUCCACAUUUCCUUCAGGACACAGGCUGCACAGCAGUUGCCUCUGGCAACUCAGGACCUCACAGCCAGCCCUCUGAACCUAUAGUCCAAGGAGCUCUUCCACCCACGGCUGGGCUGGCGGAGGAACAGCUGAAGUGGAAGCUCCCAGAGCAUGAGUCAGCCACUUGUAAUCACUCACUAACCAGAAGCACACAGCACACAAAGAAAGGAGGUCAUCCCCAAAGGAAACUGCAGAGCAUCGGGAAGGAAACUCCUGCUGGCCUUCACACCCAGCAUCCUCUCCAGGAGGCCUUCUCCACAGAAGCAGCUGCAGGGCUCCCUGCCAGAGGAGCUUAGGGAAAACAGCUGGCUGGAAGAAAGACCAGAAGCCCUGAUCUUUAAAAUGCAUUUACAAAGCCUAAACAAUAGUGUAACUUUUACCUACAUAAAGAUUGCCAGGGGAACAUAGGCUAUGUUGUUCAUGAAUUUUGUCACACAGUUUUAAUAUAACUUCAAAAAUUUUAAAGUCGCAACAAAUUCAAAUAAAAUCUGUAAUUUAGGUCAUAGCAUGUGCCCCUGCUCAUUUCUUGGUUUUGACAGAUGUUCUAUAGUUGCUUAGGAGGCAAUAUUAGGAGAAGCAAUCGAGGAAUGCUCAGAACUUUCUGUACAAUCUUUGCAACUUUCCUAUACAUCUACAAUUACUCCAAAAUGAAUGCUGAUGUUAAUGUUUCCUACUUUUUGAAAGUAAAUGAAUAACACAAACUUGUCGUCUGUUGACUGUGUUGACUCUGUACUCACAGCCGAGAGUUCUAGUAAGGAAAGAAGAUCCAAGUGGUUUUAUUUUCCACAAAUUCUUC
rnacentral:lncRNA from 1 species